UCAGAUUGGAAUUAAAAUUGG
rnacentral:piRNA from 1 species